rnacentral:sRNA from 2 species
GCCUAGCCCCGAUUGAAGCAAUUGUUUGAGCUCUUUUUUGUUUUUCCUUUUAAAAACAAAAAAAGCGAGUGCGGAAAGCGGGAAAUUGC